GAUGAACGCUGGCGGCGUGCCUAACACAUGCAAGUCGAGCGAAGCGCCUUACUUGAUUUCUUCGGGAUGAAAGUAUUGUGACUGAGCGGCGGACGGGUGAGUAACGCGUGGAUAACCUGCCUCAUACAGGGGGAUAACAGUUAGAAAUGACUGCUAAUACCGCAUAAGACCACAGCACCGCAUGGUGCAAGGGGUAAAAACUCCGGUGGUAUGAGAUGGAUCCGCGUCUGAUUAGCUAGUUGGUAAGGUAACGGCUUACCAAGGCAACGAUCAGUAGCCGGACUGAGAGGUUGAACGGCCACAUUGGGACUGAGACACGGCCCAG
rnacentral:rRNA from 1 species